rnacentral:misc_RNA from 1 species
GAUCAUCCUUUCUCGUGGAAACCUCGGUAUUGAUCUACCACCAGAGAAGGUGUUCUUGUUCCAGAAGGCUGCUGUUCACAAGUGUAACAUGGCUGGCAAGCCAGCUGUAGUAACACGUGUUGUUGAUAGUAUGACUGACAAUCUCAGGCCUACUCGUGCUGAAGCAACAGAUGUUGCAAAUGCUGUCUUGGAUGGAACUGAUGCUAUUCUUCUUGGUGCUGAGACUCUGCGUGGAUUAUACCCAGUCGAGACUAUUUCUACUGUUGGCAAGAUUUGUGCCGAGGCAGGGAAGGUCUUCAACCAAGACCUAUACUUCAAGAAAACAGUCAAAUUUGUUGGAGAGCCCAUGACACAUCUGGAAGCAAUUGCCUCAUCUGCGGUAAGAGCUGCCAUCAAGGUGAAAGCAUCAGUAAUUAUUUGUUUCACUUCAUCUGGAAGGGCAGCAAGGUUGAUAGCUAAAUAUAGGCCAACUAUGCCAGUAUUGUCGGUUGUCAUUCCUCGACUCAAGACUAAUCAACUGAAGUGGAGUUUUAGCGGUGCAUUUGAGGCAAGGCAAUCUCUAAUUGUCCGAGGUCUUUUCCCAAUGCUAGCUGAUCCUCGACAUCCUGCUGAAUCUAAUAAUGCAACUAAUGAGUCGGUACUGAAGGUUGCUCUUGAUCAUGGAAAAGCAUCAGGAGU